AUUGAACGCUGGCGGCAGGCCUAACACAUGCAAGUCGAGCGGAUGAAGGGAGCUUGCUCCUGGAUUCAGCGGCGGACGGGUGAGUAAUGCCUAGGAAUCUGCCUGGUAGUGGGGGAUAACGUCCGGAAACGGGCGCUAUACCGCAUACGUCCUGAGGGAGAAAGUGGGGGAUCUUCGGACCUCACGCUAUCAGAUGAGCCUAGGUCGGAUUAGCUAGUUGGUGGGGUAAAGGCCUACCAAGGCGACGAUCCGUAACUGGUCUGAGAGGAUGAUCAGUCACACUGGAACUGAGACACGGUCCAGACUCCUACGGGAGGCAGCAGUGGGGAAUAUUGGACAAUGGGCGAAAGCCUGAUCCAGCCAUGCCGCGUGUGUGAAGAAGGUCUUCGGAUUGUAAAGCACUUUAAGUUGGGAGGAAGGGCAGUAAGUCAAUACCUUGCUGUUUUGACGUUACCAACAGAAUAAGCACCGGCUAACUUCGUG
rnacentral:rRNA from 1 species